AGAGAGAGACAUGCGCGCAUAUCAAUAAGCGGAGGAAAAGCAACUAACAAGGAUUCCCCUAGUAACGGCGAGUGAAGCGGGAAGAGCUCAAAUUUGAAAUCUUAAAGGGUUUCCCUUUACGAAUUGUAGUUUAAAGAAGUGUUUUCUGUUGAGGUUUUGGUAAAAGUUCUUUGGAAUAGGACAUCAUAGAGGGUGAGAGUCCCGUAUUUGACCUUUACUUUCAACUUUGUGAUACACUUUCAAAGAGUCGGAUUGUUUGGGAAUGCAGUCCAAAAUGGGUGGUAAAUUUCAUCUAAAGCUAAAUAUUGGCGAGAGACCGAUAGGCGAACAAGUACCGUGAGGGAAAGAUGAAAAGAACUUUGAAAAGAGAGUUAAACAGUACGUGAAAUUGUCAAAAGGGAAGCGUUUGACACCAGUGUUGUUUUUCUGAAAAUCAAUUAAAGAACUGUUUAUGCUAAGUUGUUUAGACUUUAUCAGCUAACUGUUUAGUUUUGAGCUUUUCUUUAAUGCACUUUUCAGUUAACAAGUCAACAUCAAUUUCUUUUGCUGUAAAAAAGCUUGAGGAAGGUGGCUUGAGAUUCGUCUUAAGUGUUUAUAGCCUCUUGCCUAUGCAGUCGGAGAGAUUGAGGUCUGCAGCGUAGAUCCUUCGGGGCUAAAUGCAUUUGUGCUAAGUUAUAGCAUUUUAUAGACAACUUGUUGACUAUGAUUUGUCUUGUAGCUUACUCGCUUAUGUUAUUUUACCUACGCUUAGGAUGUUGAGCGCAUGUCUCUCUCU
rnacentral:rRNA from 1 species